rnacentral:rRNA from 1 species
AUCACUUGGCCUCUUUAUUCUACCAAUAUUAAGAGGAUUUAUCUUUUGUUCAUAUAAAUUAAAAUCAGUUGGUAAAUCUAGAAAUUUAAGCAAAUUUGAGUCAUCUAAAUAUUUUUAAACUCAAAUUAAAAACUUAAAACUAAAAUUAUAUUUUAGAUAUUAUUCACUUCCUGAAGUAAAUCAUUUUAUUAAGGAAAGGAAAGGAAAUCAACCGAGACUCCGAAAGUAAUGGCGAGUGAAAUCGGACCAGCCUUUAAACUAAUCUUUUUUUUUUUUUUUUGAAAACUAAUUUUUCAUUUCUAUAUGUCUAAUUAGUUUACAUACAUCAAAAAAUUUUUAGUUUAUCUUAAAAGUACGACGAGAGAUAACUUGUCGGAAUAUAGGGGAACCAUCCUCUAAGGCUAAGUAUUAUAAAUUUAGCGAUAGUGAAAAAGUACUGUAAAGGAAAGUAGGUUCAUUUGUAAACCAGCCACGUUUAAGCAGUCUUAUAUUUAACUAUGUUUUUUACUAAUUUAUUUUAUCAAGUUAAAUUUUAAGUUAGUUAACUAAUUUAUUUUUUAAUUUUUAAGAUAAUUUAUAGUUCUAAUCUAGGGAGAUUAAAAGAUGCUUGUGGUUUUCUAAUAGUAGCUCUAUAAGCAGUCGGAAUUUUUAUUAAAAAUGACGGCGUACCUUUUGCAUAAUGGGUCAGCAACUUAAUGGGAGUAGCAAGGUUAAAAGCCUCAGCGAAAGCGACUGGAUAAUUCUAUAGUAGCAAUUUAAAGGGGAAAAGAUUUAAUUUACUUUUUUUUAAUAAGAAAGACUGAUAUUAAAAGCUCGGUCGAGUUAUUAUAGGUUGUGUUGGGAUUAGUUACUUCUAUUAGACCCGAAGCCAGGUGAUCUUUCCAUGGCCAGAUUUAUAAAGGAUCGAACGGGUGAAUGUUGCAUUAUUCUCCGAAGAGCUGUGGAAAGUUGUGAAAUGCAAACCUAACCUGGUGCUAGCUGGUUUUCUACGAAACAUAUUUAAGUAUGACGUCUAUUUAAGAUUUAUGCUGGUACAGUACGGGGGUUACAAAAUAAGUAGUGUUUAGAUAUUUCAAUAUUUAAAUGUUAUGAACUUAAGUUUGAGGGGGCCUUGAAAUCCUACCAUUGUAAGAGAAUCUCGGAAUAACAUAAAUUGAUGAUAGACUUUCAGACUGCUCAUGAUAAGUUGGGUAGUCAAGACGAAAACAGUCGAGAACACGAAUUAAGGUCCCGAAUUGAUUAUUAAGUGAAAUUAAGGAUGUCUGAUCUUGAAUGCAGCUGAAAAGUGAGCCUGGUAGUCGCUACUUUUAAUGAACGUAUAGUAACAACGCAUCAGCCCAAACCUAGUAAUCUAGAUAUUAUUUAUAAUUCUAUUUUACAAAUAGGCAGGAGGGGGGCGCCGAAAAUUUAACGGGUCUAAGUAAUCAACCGAUAUCGUGUUGCUUUAUUUUAUAAUUGUUUAGUUAAAUAUGUAUUAAAACAUUAAGGGCUAAUGAAAAUAAAUUAUACAGAAAUUCUCUAUUCUAAACGUCAAGUAAAGAAUCCUGACACAUGCCUGUGUGCGGUGAAGGGGGCAAGAUAAAAUUUUUUAAUUUAGAAGUAGUAUUAUCAAAAUAAAGUUAGGUAGUAGAACAUUCUGAACGUUUGAAGAACAGUGUUUCAUUGUUUGGACGUAACUGAAGAGAGAAUGCUGACAUGAGUAACGAAAAAAGAAGUUUUAAUACUUCUCGCCGAAUGCGAUAGGUUUUACUCAGCAAUGUUAAACAACUGAGUAUUUAUAGCGGUCUCUAAGGAAUAAAACCAAUGUUUUUUCUGAUGAGUGUUAAACGAACGUCCUUUAUUGGACCAGGAAAAUAAGAGUUUACAUCACCGUACUUAAACCGACACUGGUUCGCAGGUAGAGUAUACUAAGGCGUAGAGCGAAGACUUGUUAAGGAACUCGGCAAAAACCCUUCAUAAGUUUGGCGACAAGAAGGACCAUCUGGACUUAAAGAAUAAAUUUAAAAAAUAGAAUUAAAGGUUAAUUAAUAAAAUAAGCUCAGUUAAUUAAGUUGAUUAGUAAAAUUAAACAGUAAAAUUAAUAUCCGGUGGUGACACAUAAUCGGGGGCCCCGACUGUUUACUAAAAACACAAGAAUCUGCAAUGAUUAAUAUCAUAGUAUAGGUUCUGAAAUUUGCCCAAUGCCAUUAAUAUAAGAGCGGUAAUUUAUAAAGGUUACUAAUCGAACAUCUGGUUAAUAGCGGUCUUAACUAUGAGGAUCCAAAGGUAGCAUAAUCAUUUGGCCAUUAAAUGUGGUCUGGUAUCAAUAAUGUAACGAUGGCCCCACUGUCUCAACAAGUCGCUCAGUGAAAUUGAAUUGUGAGUGCAGAUGCUCACUACCUCCGGGUGGACGGGAAGACCCUAUGCAGCUUUACUGUAUUUAGUUAUCACGUUAAUCUACAACAGGAUGGUCAAUAGAGAGCAGGCAGUCGAUAGACGAAUAGUGGAAACCUUCAGAUCAGGACCUGGGUUAAUGUUAAUAUCUCUAUCUGUAGGGGAUAGGGAGAGAAUUGACUAAUUGACAGUUUGACUGGGGCGGUCGUCUUUAAUAGAGUAGCAAAGUACAUCCGAAUAUAUUUUAAAUUUAAAUACUUCGAUAUCCUAAUAUUAUUAAUUUAAUAUUCAAGCACUGGAUAUUUUGAAGCGACUUUAGUCAUAUUUUGAACCUGAUACAUAUUUAUAAUAAAUUAAUUUUAACUAAUUUAACUGUAAUUGUACCAAACAAGGCUCAUUCUAUAAAUAUAAUUAAAGUUUAAAAAAUUUCAUCUUAUUAUUAUGAGUAUUAUAAGUGACUAGUUGCUUAUAGGAAAACUAAUAACGAUCUAAAUCAAUUAAAUUUGUACAUACUUAUGAAGACUCUAUUUUUGAGAUUUAAUUAAUUCCUUAUCUAAAAGGAAACCUGGUUAGAUUUUCAAAGAAUAUUGAUUUGUAAUAUUUUUAAGGUAGAGCUAGAAAUUGAAUGGGGAUCAAUCUGCCAGUGAGAAGGCAGUGGACAGAGCAUAAUGGCGGAAAGCAUGCCUAACUGAAAGACCUAUAAGUCGCACAGAUACGUAAGUAGGGCAUAGUGAACCCUCGCUAUAAUAUGGAAUAGACGAGGAUCAAUAGAUAAAAGUUACGCUAGGGAUAACAGGCUGAUAGUCCGCGAGAGUACACAUUGUCCGGACUGUUUGGCACCUCGAUGUCGACUCAACCUAUCCUCCGGGAGUAUAAGCUCGGAAGGGUUGGACUGUUCGUCCAUUAAAAGGUUACGUGAGUUGGGUUUAGUACGACGUAAGUCAGUACGGUCCCUAUCUUCCGGAGGGACAAAUAGUAAAAAGGGGGAGAUCUUCUAGUACGAAAGGAUCAAUAGGCUGUGUUUCAAUCGUGCACCAAUUGUUGAGUAAAAAUUUAUUUAUCUUGAACCGAUUUCAAAAUAAUUUUCAAUAUGCCAUGGGGGGAAUCCAAUCCCCUUAAUUAGGUAAAUGAAGAAUAUUAGAAAUGCUUUAUUUUUUAUGAGAUUUACUAAAAAUAACAAAAAACUUACGAAUUUUAGUAACUAAUAUUAACUAAUUAAAGAAAGAGAUAGAUGUAAUGAAUCGGCAUAGUUGGGUAGCCACAAACAUGAUGGAUAAGAGCUGAACGUAUAUCAAGCAUGAAACCAUCCCCUAGAUACUAUCAAUCAAAACUAAAACAAUUUAAACUUAGGUAUUUUAUCUUUUAAUUUACCCACCCUACUUACCCACUAAAUAGAAAUGUUUAUGGAAUAUUAUUAUUAGUAUUAGUAUUAGUAUUAGAGAAAAGGUGUCUACUCUUGUGUAAUUUUAGAAUUAGAAUUAGAUAAUUUAACAAUUUAAUAAACUUAGAUAAUUUAAUUAUUUUAAUUUUUAAUCCUAUUUACCAGCAAUUUUAAUUAUUGUUGUUUUUGAGUUUAUGGUUUUAAUCUUUUGAUAGAUAAGAAAUAGAACAUUUCUAAAUAGGGUGCAAGUAUACAAGUCUCAAGAUGAAUCAAACUAA